GUCGAGCGAGGUCUUCGGGCCUAGCGGCGGACGGGUUAGUAACGCGUGGGAACGUGCCCUUCACUACGGAAUAGUCCCGGGAAACUGGGUUUAAUACCGUAUACGCCCUUCGGGGGAAAGAAUUUCGGUGAAGGAUCGGCCCGCGUCUGAUUAGGUAGUUGGUGGGGUAAUGGCCUACCAAGCCUACGAUCAGUAGCUGGUUUUAGAGGAUGAUCAGCAACACUGGGACUGAGACACGGCCCAGACUCCUACGGGAGGCAGCAGUGGGGAAUCUUAUACAAUGGGCGCAAGCCUGAUCUAGCCAUGCCGCGUGAGUGAUGAAGGCCUUAGGGUCGUAAAGCUCUUUCGCUGGGGAAGAUAAUGACGGUACCCAGUAAAGAAACCCCGGCUAACUCCGUGCCAGCAGCCGCGGUAAUACGGAGGGGGUUAGCGUUGUUCGGAAUUACUGGGCGUAAAGCGCGCGUAGGCGGACUGUUAAGUCGGGGGUGAAAUCCCGGGGCUCAACCCCGGAACGGCCUUCGAUACUGGCAGUCUGGAGUUCGAGAGAGGUGAGUGGAAUUCCGAGUGUAGAGGUGAAAUUCGUAGAUAUUCGGAGGAACACCAGUGG
rnacentral:rRNA from 1 species